rnacentral:rRNA from 1 species
GACAGAGGGUGCAAACGUUGUUCGGAAUUACUGGGCGUAAAGCGUGUGUAGGCUGCUACAUAAGUCGGAUGUGAAAGCCCCGGGCUCAACCCGGGAAGUGCACUCGAUACUGCGUAGCUUGAGUCUCGGAGAGGUUGGUGGAAUUCUCGGUGUAGAGGUGAAAUUCGUAGAUAUCGAGAGGAACACCGGUGGCGAAGGCGGCCAACUGGACGAAGACUGACGCUGGGACACGAAAGCGUGGGGAGCAAACAGG